AUAUGUAUUGCGUCUUCUGACACUAUCAACUAAAAUCUGUUCUUAUCAGUUUAAUAUCUGAUACGUCCCCUAUCUGGGGACCAUAUAUUAAAUGGAUUUUUCGAACAGGGAGAUGGAAAAAGAGCUUGCUCUGUCCACUCCACGCAUUGACCUGGUAUUGCAGUACGUCCAGGACCGAUGCACCCCUU